GCUUCCGUGGCGCAAUAGGCAGCGCGUGUGGCUGUUAACCACAAGGUCGCUAGUUCAAACCUAGCCGGGAGCG
rfam:Gonapodya prolifera JEL478 unplaced genomic scaffold M427scaffold_8, whole genome shotgun sequence.